CCUGCUCCAUGACCUUUUAAUAGCCGCUCAUAGUGCUAAGGUAGCAUAAUAAAUUGCUUUUUAAUUAAAAGAUCGAAUGAAAGGAAGCACGAUUUAUUAACUAUAUCAAUAUACAGAUAUUAAACUUAAAUUCAUGUAAAAAUUCAACAUUAUCUAGCAAGACGACAAGACCCUAUCGAACUUAACUACACAGUUAUACUGGGAAGGUAAAAAACAAAAUCUUUUUUUUUCCACCAAUAAACGCUAUUAUUGAAUAAAAAUAAGUUACCGUAGGGAUAACAGCACAAUAACUUAUUCAAGCUCAUAUAAAAUAAGUUGAUUAUGACCUCGAUGUUGAAUUAACACUACUUUUUCUAGAAAAAUAUAAAAGUGUGAGUCUGUUCGACUCCUAACCUGUUACAU
rnacentral:rRNA from 1 species